rnacentral:rRNA from 1 species
AGUUCGGAUUGUAGUCUGCAACCCGACUACAUGAAGCCGGAAUCGCUAGUAAUCGCGGAUCAGAAUGCCGCGGUGAAUACGUUCCCGGGUCUUGUACACACCGCCCGUCAAACCAUGAGAGUUGGCAACACCCGAAGUCGGUAGUCUAACCGCAAGGAGGACGCCGCCGAAGGUGGGGUUGAUGAUUAGGGUUAAGUCGUAACAAGGUAAC